GUUAAUGAAGACAAACUUGGGCAUGAGGAUUAGGCAGCGGCACAACUAAUUCAUCAAAAAAGGUGACAUACCAAUGCUUUCCUCCUACAAAAACGAAAGUCUUGUUUAAAAUAAAAAAAGUAGUUGGUAACUUUAUUAUUACCAGUUCUAGCGUGGCGCAGUAGGGGUAAACAAAUCCAUAACUCAUCAUACUCAUUACUUUAUCAAAUCGAUAUACCUACUUCUUUGACUAAAAACACAAAUAAAACCUUUUCUGCUACUCUGUUUUGAAUAAGGAAUAAAUAUAUUUUAAAAUUAAAAAAUUCAAUUCUGUCACCGCUUCUCUUUUUCAGUUGAAUUCUACAGUCACACCAUAUACACUCAUAACUGAAAAUCGCAUAAAAAAUUUAAAAUAGUUCCCAACAACGAAUAAAAACCAUAUCUACAGUUAUAUUAAUAUAGUGAAUAACAAUAACUAAAAUUAAUCAAGAUGGACUGUGCUUUCUGCAACCGUACAAUGGAGGGCUGUGCGUCUAUAAAGUGCAGCCUGUGUGCGUCACAGUUCCACCUGGAGUGCGUGAGCAAUGAGCACCUGGUGCCCAGCACGAACAGUUGGCGGUGCUGCCGCUGCGAGUCGCUCAACUCCGCCGCGGCGCCCGCCUCCUUGGACACAGCUGUCCGCGUCUAGAAUGUUUCUUUGUCGUAACUGGUAAAUUGAUUGUGAACCCUCCAUCAUGGCAUAUUUGGAAAUAAAUGUAUUUUGAUUUACAA
rnacentral:lncRNA from 1 species